rnacentral:rRNA from 1 species
CACAAGCGGUGGAUGAUGUGGUUUAAUUCGAUGCAACGCGAAAACCUUACCACCUUUGACAUGUACGGAAUCCUUUAGAGAUAGAGGAGUGCUCGAAAGAGAGCCGUAACACAGGUGCUGCAUGGCUGUCGUCAGCUCGUGUCGUGAGAUGUUGGGUUAAGUCCCGCAACGAGCGCAACCCUUGUCAUUAGUUGCCAUCAUUUGGUUGGGCACUCUAAUGAGACUGCCGGUGACAAACCGGAGGAAGGUGGGGAUGACGUCAAGUCCUCAUGGCCCUUAUGGGUAGGGCUUCACACGUCAUACAAUGGUCGGUACAGAGGGUUGCCAACCCGCGAGGGGGAGCUAAUCCCACAAAGCCGAUCGUAGUCCGGAUCGCAGUCUGCAACUCGACUGCGUGAAGUCGGAAUCGCUAGUAAUCGUGGAUCAGCAUGUCACGGUGAAUACGUUCCCGGGUCUU